UUUUGUAAGUAAAAAGUCGUAACAAGGUUUCCGUAGGUGAACCUUCGGAAGGAUCAUUACUGGAAGUAAAUAGUUGUAACAAGGUCUCUGCAACGUGAACCAGGCCAGGAGCCCCACCUCCUGACGGCGCGGCUCGGGCCGGGAUGUUCACAACCGUACCGUUUGUUCCUUCGGCGGGUGCAUAGCCAGCCGGCGUCCGAUCGGAAAACCCGGGUGGACAUAGCAUUAUACCUGUGUAACUUUGCAGUGAAUAGUAAACAACAUUCAACAAUUAAAACUUUCAACAACGGCUCUGAUGAAGAACGCAUCGAAGAAGAAUACAUAAAAUGAAUUGCAGAAUUCAGUGAAUCAUAAUUCAGUGAAUCAUACAAUGCGCCCACGCACAUCCGCCCCGCAUGCCUCCGGGGGGCUCAUUUGACACCCUCGUCAUUUCACCAGGCAAGGGCACCUGUGUAUUGGGCUAUGCGGUGGACCGCGCGCAAAGUCAUUACAGCUGUCGUCUUUCGUCCCAGCACAGCACGGAACGCAUGAGGGAAAGGUUGCAGGCUGAGGCCACGCCGAAGAACACCCCCAUCUACAAGGUGACCUCGGAUCAGGUGAGGACCAG
rnacentral:rRNA from 1 species